rnacentral:rRNA from 1 species
GAUGAACGCUGGCGGCGUGCCUAAUACAUGCAAGUCGAGCGAACGGACGAGAAGCUUGCUUUUCUGAUGUUAGCGGCGGACGGGUGAGUAACACGUGGAUAACCUACCUAUAAGACUGGGAUGACUUCGGGAAACCGGAGCUAAUACCGGAUAAUAUUUUGAACCGCAUGGUUCAAAAGUGAAAGACGGUCUUGCUGUCACUUAUAGAUGGAUCCGCGCUGCAUUAGCUAGUUGGUAAGGUAACGGCUUACCAAGGCAACGAUGCAUAGCCGACCUGAGAGGGUGAUCGGCCACACUGGAACUGAGACACGGUCCAGACUCCUACGGGAGGCAGCAGUAGCGAAUCUUCCGCAAUGGGCGAAAGCCUGACGGAGCAACGCCGCGUGAGUGAUGAAGGUCUUCGGAUCGUAAAACUCUGUUAUUAGGGAAGAACAUAUGUGUAAGUAACUGUGCACAUCUUGACGGUACCUAAUCAGAAAGCCACGGCUAACUACGUG